rnacentral:miRNA from 2 species
CAGCCACACCUUCCUUUUAAGA